CUCCUACGGGAGGCAGCAGUGGGGAAUAUUGGACAAUGGGCGAAAGCCUGAUCCAGCCAUGCCGCGUGUGUGAAGAAGGCCUUUUGGUUGUAAAGCACUUUAAGCGAGGAGGAGGCUACUUAGAUUAAUACUCUAGGAUAGUGACGUACUCGCAG
rnacentral:rRNA from 1 species